CAUAAAAUACUAUCUUGUGGUACAAUGCUAAAACUUAGGGUUGGGAAACUUCGGUGUAAUUCCGGGACUGUGCCGCAGCUGUAAAGCAAUUUUGGAUUUGACUAAAAAUCUCAAGUCUAAAGUUGGGUAAGUCAGAAUGCCAAUUCUAGGGUAUCUAC
rnacentral:ncRNA from 1 species